ensembl:lncRNA
CUCCGGUUCUCCCAGUGUUCAGUCAAGCUGUACAUCCUCACUCCCCGCUCCUUCUUCUACUCCAGUUCCAGAAGCUUUUGAAAAUCCAUCUCUCCCACAGACAAGAAAUACUCCUUCUGAUGAUUUACUCUGUACUUCAUUGCCCUGUGAGCAAAAAAUACAACAUGCCAAGUCUCUGUGGGACGCGGUAAGUCGUAUACGCAAACACACUGCUCCUGACUCUGAGACAGAGGAAGAGGAGACGGUUGAGUUUGGGGAACAAACUGAAAGUGCAGACACUGACUUGCUUUAUCAGAGACUGAACACAAAAGAAGGAGAAGAAUUGGAGGAUAAUACUUUAGAGAACUGAACAAAAACCAAAUGAUGUUUCUAUUCCUGUGCCAGAAAACACUGUGUGUAUACUAUCAUAGCAUUACAAGCAUAGGCCGUAUGACACCACACACUAAUAUUUCACUGCUCCAGGCACUGUCAGUCUGUGUAUAAGUAGUAGGGAUUUUACAGUGACGCUUUCUGCAAUUAACAUUGUUAUGCCAGUAGGUCUUAAUGAGUGAGUCAUUGAAUCUUUCAUUCAACCAAUUAGUAGCAUCACCUGCUGUGUGUGAGAUAUGCAAUGGUUAAUUCUAAUGUCUCUUUGUUUGAAAGUAUUUUAAUAACAUGCAAGAAGGUUGUACUUAAUUUUCAUAUGAUUUUCUGCAUGAUCUGCAUAAUUUUUGUUGCAUAAAU